rnacentral:rRNA from 1 species
GACGAGCGCUGGCGGCGUGCUUAACACGUGCGAGUCGAGCGAGGAGGCCGAGCUUGCUAGGUGGAUGAGUGGCGAACGGGGGAGGAAUACGUGAGUAACCUAGCUUGAACUCUGGGAUAAGGCGGGGAAACUGGGGCUAAUACCGGAUACUACCAAUCUCCGCAUGGGGUGUUGGUGGAAAGCGGUAUGUAUGGGUUAUAGAUGGGCUCGCGGCCUAUCAGCUUGUUGGUGAGGUAACGGCUCACCAAGGCGACGACGGGUAGCCGGCCUGAGAGGGUGACCGGCCACACUGGGACUGAGACACGGCCCAGACUCCUACGGGAGGCAGCAGUGGGGAAUAUUGCACAAUGGGCGCAAGCCUGAUGCAGCGACGCCGCGUGAGGGAUGACGGCCUUCGGGUUGUAAACCUCUGUUAGCAGGGAAGAAGAGAAAUUGACGGUACCUGCAGAGAAAGCGCCGGCUAACUACGUGCCAGCAGCCGCGGUAAUACGUAGGGCGCGAGCGUUGUCCGGAAUUAUUGGGCGUAAAGAGCUUGUAGGCGGUUUGUCGCGUCUGCUGUGAAGGCCGGGGCUUAACCCCGUGUAUUGCAGUGGGUACGGGCAGACUAGAGUGCAGAAGGGGAGACUGGAAUUCCUGGUGUAGCGGUGGAAUGCGCAGAUAUCAGGAGGAACACCGAUGGCGAAGGCAGGUCUCUGGGCUGUAACUGACGCUGAGAAGCGAAAGCAUGGGGAGCGAACAGGAUUAGAUACCCUGGUAGUCCAUGCCGUAAACGUUGGGCACUAGGUGUGGGGGACAUUCCACGUUUUCCGCGCCGUAGCUAACGCAUUAAGUGCCCCGCCUGGGGAGUACGGCCGCAAGGCUAAAACUCAAAGAAAUUGACGGGGGCCCGCACAAGCGGCGGAGCAUGCGGAUUAAUUCGAUGCGACGCGAAGAACCUUACCAAGGCUUGACAUAUACUGGACCGCAUCAGAGAUGGUGUUUCCCUUCGGGGCUGGUAUACAGGUGGUGCAUGGUUGUCGUCAGCUCGUGUCGUGAGAUGUUGGGUUAAGUCCCGCAACGAGCGCAACCCUCGUUCUAUGUUGCCAGCACGUUAUGGUGGGGACUCAUAGGAGACUGCCGGGGUCAACCCGGAGGAAGGUGGGGAUGACGUCAAAUCAUCAUGCCCCUUAUGUCUUGGGCUUCACGCAUGCUACAAUGGCCGGUACAGAGGGUUGCGAUACUGUGAGGUGGAGCUAAUCCCUAAAAGCCGGUCUCAGUUCGGAUUGGGGUCUGCAACUCGACCCCAUGAAGUCGGAGUCGCUAGUAAUCGCAGAUCAGCAACGCUGCGGUGAAUACGUUCCCGGGCCU